rnacentral:rRNA from 1 species
GGUUAAGCGACUAAGCGUACACGGUGGAUGCCCUGGCAGUCAGAGGCGAUGAAGGACGUGCUAAUCUGCGAAAAGCGUCGGUAAGGUGAUAUGAACCGUUAUAGCCGGCGAUGUCCGAAUGGGGAAACCCAGUGUGAUUCGUCACACUAUCGUUAACUGAAUACAUAGGUUAACGAGGCGAACCGGGGGAACUGAAACAUCUAAGUACCCCGAGGAAAAGAAAUCAACCGAGAUUCCCCCAGUAGCGGCGAGCGAACGGGGAGCAGCCCAGAGUCUGAAUCAGCUUGUGUGUUAGUGGAACGGUCUGGAAAGUCCGACGGUACAGGGUGAUAGUCCCGUACACCAAAAUGCACAGGCUGUGAACUCGAAGAGUAGGGCGGGACACGUGGUAUCCUGUCUGAAUAUGGGGGGACCAUCCUCCAAGGCUAAAUACUCCUGACUGACCGAUAGUGAACCAGUACCGUGAGGGAAAGGCGAAAAGAACCCCGGCGAGGGGAGUGAAAAAGAACCUGAAACCGUGUACGUACAAGCAGUGGGAGCACCUUCGGGUGUGACUGCGUACCUUUUGUAUAAUGGGUCAGCGACUUAUAUUCUGUAGCAAGGUUAACCGUAUAGGGGAGCCGCAGGGAAACCGAGUCUUAACUGGGCGUUAAGUUGCAGGGUAUAGACCCGAAACCCGGUGAUCUAGCCAUGGGCAGGUUGAAGGUUGGGUAACACUAACUGGAGGACCGAACCGACUAAUGUUGAAAAAUUAGCGGAUGACUUGUGGCUGGGGGUGAAAGGCCAAUCAAACCGGGAGAUAGCUGGUUCUCCCCGAAAGCUAUUUAGGUAGCGCCUCGUGAACUCAUCUUCGGGGGUAGAGCACUGUUUCGGCUAGGGGGUCAUCCCGACUUACCAACCCGAUGCAAACUACGAAUACCGAAGAAUGUUAUCACGGGAGACACACGGCGGGUGCUAACGUCCGUCGUGAAGAGGGAAACAACCCAGACCGCCAGCUAAGGUCCCAAAGUCAUGGUUAAGUGGGAAACGAUGUGGGAAGGCACAGACAGCCAGGAUGUUGGCUUAGAAGCAGCCAUCAUUUAAAGAAAGCGUAAUAGCUCACUGGUCGAGUCGGCCUGCGCGGAAGAUGUAACGGGGCUAAACCAUGCACCGAAGCUGCGGCAGCGACACUAUGUGUUGUUGGGUAGGGGAGCGUUCUGUAAGCCUGCGAAGGUGUGCUGUGAGGCAUGCUGGAGGUAUCAGAAGUGCGAAUGCUGACAUAAGUAACGAUAAAGCGGGUGAAAAGCCCGCUCGCCGGAAGACCAAGGGUUCCUGUCCAACGUUAAUCGGGGCAGGGUGAGUCGACCCCUAAGGCGAGGCCGAAAGGCGUAGUCGAUGGGAAACAGGUUAAUAUUCCUGUACUUGGUGUUACUGCGAAGGGGGGACGGAGAAGGCUAUGUUAGCCGGGCGACGGUUGUCCCGGUUUAAGCAUGUAGGCUGGUUAUCCAGGCAAAUCCGGAUAAUCAAGGCUGAGGUGUGAUGACGAGGCACUACGGUGCUGAAGUAACAAAUGCCCUGCUUCCAGGAAAAGCCUCUAAGCAUCAGGUAACAUCAAAUCGUACCCCAAACCGACACAGGUGGUCAGGUAGAGAAUACCAAGGCGCUUGAGAGAACUCGGGUGAAGGAACUAGGCAAAAUGGUGCCGUAACUUCGGGAGAAGGCACGCUGGUGUGUAGGUGAAGCCCCUGCGGGUGGAGCUGAGACCAGUCGAAGAUACCAGCUGGCUGCAACUGUUUAUUAAAAACACAGCACUGUGCAAACACGAAAGUGGACGUAUACGGUGUGACGCCUGCCCGGUGCCGGAAGGUUAAUUGAUGGGGUUAUCCGUAAGGAGAAGCUCUUGAUCGAAGCCCCGGUAAACGGCGGCCGUAACUAUAACGGUCCUAAGGUAGCGAAAUUCCUUGUCGGGUAAGUUCCGACCUGCACGAAUGGCGUAAUGAUGGCCAGGCUGUCUCCACCCGAGACUCAGUGAAAUUGAACUCGCUGUGAAGAUGCAGUGUACCCGCGGCAAGACGGAAAGACCCCGUGAACCUUUACUAUAGCUUGACACUGAACAUUGAGCCUUGAUGUGUAGGAUAGGUGGGAGGCUUUGAAGCGUGGACGCCAGUCUGCGUGGAGCCAACCUUGAAAUACCACCCUUUAAUGUUUGAUGUUCUAACGUUGGCCCCUUACCGGGGUUGCGGACAGUGUCUGGUGGGUAGUUUGACUGGGGCGGUCUCCUCCCAAAGCGUAACGGAGGAGCACGAAGGUUAGCUAAUCCUGGUCGGACAUCAGGAGGUUAGUGCAAUGGCAUAAGCUAGCUUGACUGCGAGCGUGACGGCGCGAGCAGGUGCGAAAGCAGGUCAUAGUGAUCCGGUGGUUCUGAAUGGAAGGGCCAUCGCUCAACGGAUAAAAGGUACUCCGGGGAUAACAGGCUGAUACCGCCCAAGAGUUCAUAUCGACGGCGGUGUUUGGCACCUCGAUGUCGGCUCAUCACAUCCUGGGGCUGAAGUAGGUCCCAAGGGUAUGGCUGUUCGCCAUUUAAAGUGGUACGCGAGCUGGGUUUAGAACGUCGUGAGACAGUUCGGUCCCUAUCUGCCGUGGGCGCUGGAGAAUUGAGGGGGGCUGCUCCUAGUACGAGAGGACCGGAGUGGACGCAUCACUGGUGUUCGGGUUGUCAUGCCAAUGGCACUGCCCGGUAGCUAAAUGCGGAAGAGAUAAGUGCUGAAAGCAUCUAAGCACGAAACUUGCCCCGAGAUGAGUUCUCCCUGAGACUUUAAGUCUCCUGAAGGAACGUUGAAGACGACGACGUUGAUAGGCCGGGUGUGUAAGCGCAGCGAUGCGUUGAGCUAACCGGUACUAAUGAACCGUGAGGCUUAACCUUACAACGCCGAAGAUGUUUUG